CGGUGAGGGGCAUGAUGUAUUAUUACCGAGCUUUAAAGAUGCUGGCUUUUCUUGAUUCGGCUUCUGAAAUGGACAUUCGUG